rnacentral:rRNA from 1 species
AUUGAACGCUGGCGGCAGGCCUAACACAUGCAAGUCGAGCGGAUGAGUGGAGCUUGCUCCAUGAUUCAGCGGCGGACGGGCGAGUAAUGCCUAGGAAUCUGCCUGGUAGUGGGGGACAACGUUUCGAAAGGAACGCUAAUACCGCAUACGUCCUACGGGAGAAAGUGGGGGAUCUUCGGACCUCACGCUAUCAGAUGAGCCUAGGUCGGAUUAGCUAGUUGGUGAGGUAAAGGCUCACCAAGGCGACGAUCCGUAACUGGUCUGAGAGGAUGAUCAGUCACACUGGAACUGAGACACGGUGCAGACUCCUACGGGAGGCAGCAGUGGGGAAUAUUGGACAAUGGGCGAAAGCCUGAUCCAGCCAUGCCGCGUGUGUGAAGAAGGUCUUCGGAUUGUAAAGCACUUUAAGUUGGGAGGAAGGGCAGUAAGUUAAUACCUUGCUGUUUUGACGUUACCAACAGAAUAAGCACCGGCUAACUUCGUGCCAGCCGCCGCGGUAACAC